UACGGAGGGAGCUAGCGUUGUUCGGAAUUACUGGGCGUACAGCGCACGUAGGCGGCUUUGUAAGUUAGCGGUGAAAGCCUGGGGCUCAACUCCAGAAUUGCCUUUAAGACUGCAUCGCUUGAAUCAUGGAGAGGCGAGUGGAAUUCCGAGUGUAGAGGUGAAAUUCGUAGAUAUUCGGAAGAACACCAGUGGCGAAGGCGGCUCGCUGGACAUGUAUUGACGCUGAGGUGCGAAAGCGUGGGGAGCAAACAGG
rnacentral:rRNA from 1 species